GACGAACGCUGGCGGCGUGCCUAAUACAUGCAAGUCGAACGAGUGGCGGACGGGUGAGUAACACGUGGGAACCUACCCAUCAGAGGGGGAUAACUACUGGAAACGGUAGCUAAUACCGCAUACCAUCAGAUUAACCCAUAUGGGAUUAGCUUGUAGGUGAGGUAACGGCUCACCUAGGCGACGAUCCCUAGCUGGUCUGAGAGGAUGACCAGCCACACUGGAACUGAGACACGGUCCAGACUCCUACGGGAGGCAGCAGUGGGGAAUAUUGCACAAUGGGCGCAAGCCUGAUGCAGCCAUGCCGCGUGUAUGAAGAAGGCCUUCGGGUUGUAAAGUACUUUCAGCGGGGAGGCGUUACCCGCAGAAGAAGCACCGGCUAACUCCGUGCCAGCAGCCGCGGUAAUAC
rnacentral:rRNA from 1 species